CAGUAGCCGCGGUAAUACGUAGGGUGCGAGCGUUAAUCGGAAUUACUGGGCGUAAAGCGUGCGCAGGCGGUUCGUUAAGACAGAUGUGAAAUCCCCGGGCUUAACCUGGGAACUGCAUUUGUGACUGGCGAGCUAGAGUAUGGCAGAGGGGGGUAGAACUCCACGUGUAGCAGUGAAAUGCGUAGAGAUGUGGAGGAAUACCGAUGGCGAAGGCAGCCCCCUGGGCCAAUACUGACGCUCAUGCACGAAAGCGUGGGGAGCAAACAGGAUUAGAUACCCCCGUAGUCCCUGUCUCUUAUAC
rnacentral:rRNA from 1 species